UACGUAGGCAGCAAGCGUUGUUCGGAAUUACUGGGCGUAAAGAGUGUGUAGGCGGUGUUCUAAGUCUGUUGUGAAAUCUCCCGGCUUAACUGGGAGGGUGCGGCGGAAACUGGAAUGCUAGAGGAUGGGAGAGGUAAGCGGAAUUCCUGGUGUAGCGGUGAAAUGCGUAGAUAUCAGGAAGAACACCCGUGGCUAAGGCGGCUCUCUAGUACGGUACUGACGCUGAGACGCGAAAGCGUGGGGAGCGAACAGG
rnacentral:rRNA from 1 species